CGGCAAAAGCUCAAAUUUGAAAUCUGGCCCCUCCGGGGUCCGAGUUGUAAUUUGUAGAGGAUGCUUCGGGUGCGGCCCCCGUCUAAGUGCUCUGGAAUGGGCCAUCGGAGAGGGUGAGAAUCCCGUCUGGGGCGGGGUGUCCGCGUCCGUGUGAAGCUCCUUCGAC
rnacentral:rRNA from 1 species